rfam:Jatropha curcas cultivar GZQX0401 scaffold779_68, whole genome shotgun sequence.
AUACUUACCUGGACGGGGUCAAUGGGUGAUCAAGAAGGCCCAUGGCCUAGGUCAGUGUCCUUCAUUGCACUUUGAAGGGGUGCUGUCCUAAGGCCUCCCCAAGUGGGAGAGCCUACGUCAUAAUUUGUGGUAGUGGGGGCCUGCGUUCGCGCGGCCCCUUU